AAUUAUGUGUACCUAUGGAAGUAUGUAGGUUGUGAAGGAAAAUGUUUUUGUUCAUAAUAAAAUAUAAUUUAG
rnacentral:tRNA from 1 species